rnacentral:ncRNA from 1 species
UAAUAGUUUAAUUCUUGCUAUUUUAUUAGUUAUUUAAAUUUAUUAUAUGUAAUAAUUUAAAUUAUUAUUUUACAGUAAUUAGUAUUAUUAAUAUAAUUGAUUUUAUAUAGAAAUUUAAUUUAAAUUAGAUUAAAAUUGUGCCAGCAUUCGCGGUUAUACAAUAUAAUUGAGUUAAUAUUAAAAUUUAAAAUUUGUUUUUUAUUUGUAAUUAAAAAAUUUAGUUUAGGUGAAAUUUACUUUUUUUAUAAAUUACUUUUUUAAAGUUUUUUAAAUUUUUAGUUAAAACUAGGAUUAGAUACCCUAUUAUUAAUUAAUUAAUUUAAUUAAAUUGAAUAUUAAUAGUUAUGUUCUAUAAAAAUCAAAGAUUUUGGCGGUAAUUAAUUAUUUUUCAGAGGAAUCUGUGUUAUAAUCGAUAAACCACGAUAUUUUUUACCUUGGUUUUAUUUGUAUAUCUCUAUAAAGAAUGUUUUUUUAGGAUAUUUUCUUUUUAAAAUAAUUAAAAAUUUUAGGUCAAGGUGCAGUUUUAUUAAGGUAAAUAUGGAUUACUUAAAUUUUAUAUAUAUUUAAAAUUAUAUUUAUUAUAAUUAUAAUAAAUAGGAUUUGAAAGUAAAGUUAAUUAAUUUUUUAACUUGAAUUUAACUCUAAAUUAUGUACAUAUUGCCCGUCGCUCCUAAUUUUUUAGGAUAAGUCGUAACAAAGUAGUUGUACCGGAAGGUGUAUCUAGAAAGUUA